UACCGGGUCCGGACACACUGAGGAUUGACAGACAUUUAUAUGCGCAAGUAUAUAUUUAAAGAUGCUAGUUCUUUCAUGAUUAUGUGAUAGGUGGUGCAUGGCCGUUCUUAGUUCGUGGAGUGAUCUGUCUGCUUAAUUGCGUUUCAUAUUAUUAUUAAUAUUCCAUAUAUUUAUUAUAUGCGUCUAUUAUACUUUGAAAGCAACGAACGUGACCGUAGCCUUUUAUUAUAUACGCUACACGUAUAUUAAUUAAAGGGACCGCUGUAUCUUUCUUUAAACCAGAGUAAGGUUACGGCAAUAACAGGUCUGUGAUGCCCUUCGAUGUUCCGGGCUGCACACGUGCUACAAUGAUUAUUUCAUUAAGUAUCUACUGUGCAAUAAUAUUAUUAUUAUUCAAAACCUACUCUGAGAAUGAGCGGGUAAUCAAUUAGAAGUAAUGAUUUCCAAAUUUAUACACUCAUGUACCGUAUAUAUUAUCCCAUUACACAUUAUGUGUUAUGCGUGUAUAAUAUUGUACGCUGUACGUAUAUUUAUUAAUUCAUGGUGGGGAUAGACUAUUGUUAAUUGUUGGUCUCGGUCUUAACUAGGAAUGCCUUGUACGGGUCA
rnacentral:rRNA from 1 species